rnacentral:rRNA from 1 species
GUAGGUGGCGAGCGUUGUCCGGAAUUAUUGGGCGUAAAGCGCGCGCAGGCGGUUCUUUAAGUCUGAUGUGAAAGCCCACGGCUCAACCGUGGAGGGUCAUUGGAAACUGGAGAACUUGAGUACAGAAGAGGAAAGCGGAAUUCCACGUGUAGCGGUGAAAUGCGUAGAGAUGUGGAGGAACACCAGUGGCGAAGGCGGCUUUCUGGUCUGUAACUGACGCUGAGGCGCGAAAGCGUGGGGAGCAAACAGGAUUAGAUACCCUGGUAGUCCACGCCGUAAACGAUGAGUGCUAAGUGUUAGGGGGUUUCCGCCCCCCUUAGUGCUGCAGCUAACGCAUUAAGCACUCCGCCUGGGAUACGGCCGCAAGGCUG